CCUACGGGAGGCUGCAGUGAGGAAUAUUGGUCAAUGGUCGGGAGACUGAACCAGCCAAGCCGCGUGAGGGAGGAAGGUACAGAGUAUCGUAAACCUCUUUUGUCAGGGAACAAAGGCGGGGACGUGUCCCCGGAUGAGUGUACCUGAAGAAAAAGCAUCGGCUAACUCCGUGCCAGCAGCCGCGGUAAUACGGAGGAUGCGGGCGUUAUCCGGAUUUAUUGGGUUUACAGGGUGCGCAGGCGGUCUGUUAAGUCAGCGGUCAAAGCCCGGGGCUCAACCCAGGACCGCCGUUGAAACUGGCAGUCUUGAGUUGGAGAGAAGUAGGCGGAAUGCGCGGUGUAGCGGUGAAAUGCAUAGAUAUCGCGCAGAACUCCGAUUGCGAAGGCAGCAUGCCGGCUCCACACUGACGCUGAGGCACGAAAGCGUGGGUAUCGAACAGGAUUAGAUACCCCAGUAGUC
rnacentral:rRNA from 1 species